GAGAAAGUGGGGGAUUGCGAGACUGACUGGGAAACUGUCAUGGAACUUGAAAGUGAAGAUCACCACAGCAGCAGGCAGACCCAAGAAAAGCUCAGAAAAAGGAGGGCAAAUCCAGGGAGAAGAAACAAAGGUGGAGAAAAAGGAUGCCAAAGGAGGAAAGAACGUGCAAUAUAAGUGAAAAGCAGCCGUUUUCAGAAUACUGACUGCUGCUUUGCUGAAUCAAGGAUAAUGCUCCAUUUCUGGAUUUUGGGGUCCAGCCAGCAAAUCAGACAUUAUCUCAGAGUCAGCUCACUUUUCUAAAGUCCUUGGAAUAAUUAAGGCACAGUCUGGUUUCUCAAGUUUUGCCUUUUCUAAAUGACAUUAUGCGAGGGGGAGGAUUUGCGAGAGGUGCGUAAAAGCUUCAGAUUCAUUAGUAUUGCACCUUACUAAAACUAGGAAUUUGUAACACAGAGAAGUAGUAAAGAAGAAGUAGAAUUAGGUUUUAUUUGAAAGUGACUAAAUAUGA